rnacentral:rRNA from 1 species
UACGGAGGGUGCGAGCGUUGUCCGGAUUUAUUGGGUUUAAAGGGUGCGUAGGCGGCCCCUUAAGUCAGUGGUGAAAGCCCGGGGCUCAACCCCGGAACCGCCAUUGAUACUGGGGGGCUUGAGUACAGACGAGGUAGGCGGAAUUGAGGGUGUAGCGGUGAAAUGCUUAGAUACCCUCAAGAACACCGAUUGCGUAGGCAGCUUACUAGGCUGUAACUGACGCUGAGGCACGAAAGCGUGGGGAGCGAACAGG